rnacentral:rRNA from 1 species
GUGAGGAAUAUUGGUCAAUGGGCGGAAGCCUGAACCAGCCAUGCCGCGUGCAGGAAUAAGGCCCUACGGGUCGUAAACUGCUUUUGUACGGGAGCAAUAAGGGCCACGUGUGACCUGAUGAGAGUACCGUACGAAUAAGCAUCGGCUAACUCCGUGCCAGCAGCCGCGGUAAUACGGAGGAUGCGAGCGUUAUCCGGAUUCAUUGGGUUUAAAGGGUGCGUAGGCGGCGUGCCAAGUCAGGGGUGAAAGGUUCCGGCUCAACUGGGACAGUGCCUUUGAUACUGGUGUGCUGGAGUGCGCUUGCCGUGGGAGGAAUGAGUGGUGUAGCGGUGAAAUGCUUAGAUAUCACUCAGAACACCGAUUGCGAAGGCAUCUCACGAAGGCGUAACUGACGCUGAGGCACGAAAGCGUGGGGAUCAAACAGG